UACCAGCUCUCCGAGUGGUGUGGAUGUUUAUUGGGCCUAAAGCAUCCGUAGCUGGCUGGACAAGUCCCCUGUUAAAUCCACCGAUUUAAUCGUUGGAGUGCGGGGGAUACUGUUCGGCUAGGGGACGGGAGAGGCAGACGGUAUUUUCGGGGUAGGGGUGAAAUCCUAUAAUCCCGGAAAGACCACCAGUGGCGAAGGCUGUCGGCUAGAACGCGCCCGACGGUGAGGGGAUGAAAGCUGGGGGAGCGAACCGGAUUAGAUACCCGGGUAGUCCCAGCUGUAAACGAUGCAGGCUAGGUGUUUGGACGGCCACGUGCCGUUCUAGUGCCGCAGGGAAGCCGUUAAGCCUGCCGCCUGGGGAGUACGGCCGCAAGGCUGAAACUUAAAGGAAUUGGCGGGGAGCACCACAAGGGGUGAAGCUUGCGGUUU
rnacentral:rRNA from 1 species